GAGAAGUUUUUGAGAUGUUUAUGUAUUAGUGAUACAAAUUAAAUUGUUGUCUAGGAGAAGUUGCAAAUGGUCGAAAGUUAUGGAGUGUGUUGAUGAGCAGGAGGGGAUACCAUGUUGCAGUGCCUGGAUGGGGUUAAGCACUUUUGUGGUGUUUUACUGAAGUGCUGUGAAAUCGACAUAUACAAUCAGGCGAAGGGGCUCGAAGAUCCGGAGCUUUUAGCUCGAGAGACUGUGUUUAGUGUUAGUGAAAUUGAAGCACUAUAUGAGCUGUUUAAGAAGAUCAGUAGUGCUGUGAUUGAUGAUGGGCUGAUCAAUAAGGAAGAGUUCCAGUUGGCGCUGUUCAAGACCAAUAAGAAGGAGAGCUUGUUUGCUGAUCGGGUAUUUGACUUGUUCGACACCAAACACAAUGGAAUUUUAGGUUUUGAAGAGUUUGCACGUGCUCUCUCUGUCUUCCAUCCUAAUGCUCCGAUCGAUGAUAAAAUCCAGUUUUCUUUCCAGCUGUAUGAUCUCAAGCAGCAAGGAUUUAUUGAAAGACAAGAGGUGAAGCAAAUGGUAGUGGCCACACUUGCUGAAUCUGGAAUGAAUCUUUCGGAUGAUGUUAUAGAAAGCAUCAUAGACAAGACGUUUGAGGAAGCUGAUACAAAGCAU
rnacentral:misc_RNA from 1 species